UUUCACUUCUCAGAAGUUCGGUGUUGCGCUGUUUUCUAUUAGUUGUUUUUAUAGAAUCGUCGAAAAUUCAAUGUAAAGGUAAAUCGCGAGAAGUUCUUGUCGGCGUCAUUAAAAUUAUAUUCGAGGCGUAAGUUAACCAUAAUCUUUCUCGGAAGUGUGUUAUAUCUCGGCGCUGAAUAUCGGAGCAUUUUCGAAACAAGUACAUUUCGCUUUAUUGUCGUGUUCGGUUGCGCAUAUUUUGUGUCUUCGCUAAAUAUCAGUAGAACAUUUAACCGAACCAUCAGAAAUCGAAUAAUACAUUGUGUCGCGAGUGUUAAACCUGAAUUUUUAAAGAGGAUUUUCACGAGAAAUUUCGGAGAAAAGAAGAAAGACAGGAAAAGUCAUCCUACAUCAUUGAGCAGUACAUCGUUAAAUCAAGAAAUCUCUGCAUUAUAUUAAGAAAGACCUGCGGUUGGGAAUAACGGGAGGAACGAUGAAUCGUCUGGCACGUCACUAUCGAGUAGAGAGGAGGACGUUGAGUAAUCCAGGGACACUUGAGAAACCCGAUAACGGAUGGUUAUCGGCGUGCAGUGCUGCUAGGAGCGCGGGAAAAUGAUGCCGGCGCACCGGCGCGAAUUAUUCGUGAGAGGCAUUUCUGCGGAGAAAAUCGCGCGAUUCGACGCCGCAUACGUUCCACUUUAUGUGAAACACAUGGACGAACUGUUGAAGCUACCUUUUUAACGAUGUGUUUUGCUACGAUAAGAAAAAAAGACAUUUUAUUAUUCGUAUCUCGUUCGAUCGCUUAAUAAAAUGAAAAAAUGAUAUGGAGGAUGUAGUUUGUUGUUGUACAAAAAGCACAUACUUCAUUCGUUCAUUGGUUCAUUGCGUUUUUAUUAAAGAGAAAUUUGGGUAAUGCGCGGAGCUCGUGGAAUGUUUCACAAGGAUGACUUUCUAAUAUCCGUGAUUAGUCCGCGCGCAAUACGGCUAUUAACAAACGCGAUAUAAGUCAUUAUUACUGUUCGGUGAGAGGCGGUCUAUUUUUCUAUCAACGGCUGUCUGAGAUCCGGUCCUUAUUAUUCCUGAAAUGGGAAUCCAGAAUGGAGAACGCGGACAUUACGUAUAUCACACGCGACUCCGCACGGUACACUUUCACACGAUACGCCAUACGAGAUUUUCAGCGUGGAGAAUUAAGCGCGAACGCAAAUGACCGCGAAAUAAUGUAAUGAAACAUGCAAACGAAAUCACAUUCAAGGUAGCGAAUCGAGAAGAUCUGAUCGUUAACCAUUCCUCAUAAUAAAAAAUUGAUAAAUACCUCACAGAGAGAAAGAGACACAAAACUAUUUAAUCCUACAUUAAUUCAGCAGAAUAAUAAUUAUUUUAUUUUUAGGCAACAAUUAUGCGAAAUAUCGUCUUUAAAUCUUAUAUUAUCCCGCGAGACUGGGAGAGAUUCUUGCAUAAUCCGCACGAUAUUGUGAUAAAUAGAGUUUCAAUUCAAUUCAGCGUGACUGUCUUGUACUGUCCUGUCGGCACACAGUGCCAAUAAAAGAGAUUUAGAUGAAUGAAAAAUAAUUUUCAUACAAAGUGCGACGUAAGUCAUAUUUGGAGUGUCGAGAGUGCCGCGGCGUGAUAGUUUAAGAGAUAAAUAACUUGAUAUACCACCAGUUCUAAUCCCGUAGGAUAUGUAAACGCAUAUUUAUGUGCGCCAUAAUCUUCAUUACAUAUUCGCUGUUUUAAUUUAAAGUUACGCGUGUGUGUGUGUGCGUGUGUGUCGUGCGAGCGCGAGCGCGAGCGGGUUAACGAGCGCGUGUCGCGUUUUGCAAUUCGAGCGAACCCCGAACAAAACCAGAUUCGCAUUAUGUGGCGCGGUAUUACGAUUAGAGCCGCGUGUGCAGCACGCUCGAUUGCAUAAUCCGCUCGUAAAUAAGCGGGCGCGAGCGCGUAUGCUCAUUUGUUCGCCCGCUCGUAUGAAAGAAUGUAUGCGGUGUCACCUGUCGGCGGACCAAUCGCGUCGUGAG